rnacentral:tRNA from 1 species
GCCAUUGUGGUGCAGUGGUUAAAGUGCUUGGCUGCUAACCAAAAGGUUGGUGGUUUGAACCUGCCAAAGGCU